rnacentral:rRNA from 1 species
GACGAACGCUGGCGGCGUGCCUAAUACAUGCAAGUUGAGCGAUGAAGAUUGGUGCUUGCACCAAUUUGAAGAGCAGCGAACGGGUGAGUAACGCGUGGGGAAUCUGCCUUUGAGCGGGGGACAACAUUUGGAAACGAAUGCUAAUACCGCAUAACAACUUUAAACAUAAGUUUUAAGUUUGAAAGAUGCAAUUGCAUCACUCAAAGAUGAUCCCGCGUUGUAUUAGCUAGUUGGUGAGGUAAAGGCUCACCAAGGCGAUGAUACAUAGCCGACCUGAGAGGGUGAUCGGCCACAUUGGGACUGAGACACGGCCCAAACUCCUACGGGAGGCAGCAGUAGGGAAUCUUCGGCAAUGGACGAAAGUCUGACCGAGCAACGCCGCGUGAGUGAAGAAGGUUUUCGGAUCGUAAAACUCUGUUGGUAGAGAAGAACGUUGGUGAGAGUGGUAAGCUCAUCAAGUGACGGUAACUACCCAGAAAGGGACGGCUAACUACGUG